rnacentral:rRNA from 1 species
CAGUAGCCGCGGGAAUACGUAGGUGGCAAACGUUGUCCGGAAUUAUUGGGCGUAAAGGGCUCGCAGGCGGUUUCUUAAGUCUGAUGUGAAAGCCCCCGGCUCAACCGGGGAGGGUCAUUGGAAACUGGGAAACUUGAGUGCAGAAGAGGAGAGUGGAAUUCCACGUGUAGCGGUGAAAUGCGUAGAGAUGUGGAGGAACACCAGUGGCGAAGGCGACUCUCUGGUCUGUAACUGACGCUGAGGAGCGAAAGCGUGGGGAGCGAACAGGAUUAGAUACCCCCGUAGUCCCUGUCUCUUAUAC